GACGAACCGUCCAAACGUUAUUCGGAAUCACUGGGCUUACAGAGUUCGUAGGCGGUCUGGAAAGUUGGGUGUGAAAUCCCUCGGCCUAACCGAGGAACUGCGCUUGAAACUACCAGACUCGAGGGAGAUAGAGGAAAGCGGAACUGAUGGUGGAGCGGUGAAAUGCGUUGAUAUCAUCAGGAACACCGGUGGCGAAGGCGGGUCUCUGGGCCGAAACUGACGCUGAGGAGCGAAAGCGUGGGGAGCAAACAGG
rnacentral:rRNA from 1 species